rnacentral:rRNA from 1 species
UACGGGGGGGGCAAGCGUUGUUCGGAAUUACUGGGCGUAAAGGGUUCGUAGGUGGCCAACUAAGUCAGACGUGAAAUCCCUCAGCUUAACUGGGGAACUGCGUCUGAUACUGGUCUGGCUUGAGUGCAGGAGAGGAACGCGGAAUUCCAGGUGUAGCGGUGAAAUGCGUAGAGAUCCGGAGGAACCCCAGAGGCGAAGGCGGCGCUCUGGCUCGCAACUGACGCUCAGACACGACAGCAUGGGGAGCGAACGGG